UGGCCAGACUCCUACGGGAGGCAGCAGUGAGGAAUAUUGGUCAAUGGUCGGGAGACUGAACCAGCCAAGCCGCGUGAGGGAUGAAGGUACAGAGUAUCGUAAACCUCUUUUGUCAGGGAACAAAGGCGGGGACGUGUCCCCGGAUGAGUGUACCUGAAGAAAAAGGAUCGGCUAACUCCGUGCCAGCAGCCGCGGUAAUACGGAGGAUGCGCGCGUUAUCCGGAUUUAUUGGGUUUAAAGGGUGCGCAGGCGGGCUUUUAAGUCAGCGGUAAAAAUUCGGGGCUCAACCCCGUCCGGCCGUUGAAACUGGGGGCCUUGAGUGGGCGAGAAGUACGCGGAAUGCGUGGUGUAGCGGUGAAAUGCAUAGAUAUCACGCAGAACUCCGAUUGCGAAGGCAGCGUACCGGCGCCCAACUGACGCUCAUGCACGAAAGCGUGGGUAUCGAACAGGAUUAGAUACCCGAGUAAU
rnacentral:rRNA from 1 species